AGGGCGGUUCAUAUCACACCUCGCCGGGAGCAGACUGGUUUAGACCCGCCUUUUCCGUCCCGUUAUAUAAAGCGGUUGGCUACCCUGCUGUCAGUCAGAGGCAGCAAGAGCGGCCUGAGAAAGGCUCUGGGUUUGUUUUGCUGGGCGACUUUAUGUCAGCUUGGCUGUCAGCUGCGAGAGUGCUUUGAACUUUUAGGUGGAAAAUGCCGGAAAGUAACUCCACAGAGUGGAGCGACAUUAGCGCGGUGCAGGAUGUGGAAUUCGUGUUUGGCGUCCUAGGCAUCCCGGUGACCACGGACAUCCCCCUUGCAUCCCAGGAGCUGGACAUCAGUUGACAUCUGUGCAGAAGAAUUGGAAAAUAAUGGUCUUCUUCUGGUGCUGUGACUUUGCUAGGAGACGUAGAUGCUGUUACUAAACAGGUAGGAACUUUUGCCUAGGUUUUUAGUUUGUGUGAACUGGUCUUUUAAGGAAUGGUUCUUGAAAUAUUAGUGUCUAUUUUAAACCAAAUUUGAAAAGGGAAACUAUUCUAAAAUAUAACUUUCGAACUUGGUCUUUUUAUACUUAGCUCAUAUUUCUGUAAAUUAAGCAUUUUUGGAAGGCAUUUGAAAAUUUAAAGUCAUUCAGAAUGCAAAUGGAUUUACUAAGUAGGAUACCACUGCCUGAAAAAUUAUAAUGCAACUUCCAAAAGGAGUUUUGGGUUACAGCCCAAAAAAUAGCUUUACAGGAUGGAAAUUUUUUUAGGUUUUUAUUUUAUUUUAUUUUUCUAAGUUAAUAAAGAGCUUUUACUCUCCCAAA